rnacentral:rRNA from 1 species
UACAGAGGGUGCGAGCGUUGUUCGGAAUUAUUGGGCGUAAAGGGCGCGUAGGCGGUGCGGUAAGUCACUUGUGAAAUCUCCUGGCUCAACUGGGAGCUUGCAGGCGAAACUGCCGUGCUGGAGUGUGGGAGAGGUGCGUGGAAUUCCCGGUGUAGCGGUGAAAUGCGUAGAUAUCUGGAGGAACACCGGUGGCGAAGGCGGCAUCCUGGACCGGCAGUUGACGCUGAGGCGC